rnacentral:sRNA from 1 species
UCACACCAAAUCUCAAUCUUUCAUCGGAGAUUGAGGAAGAAGAGACUGUAACAUCACAUCACCUGGUUAUCAUCCACGUACCCAGUAGCAUAAACACCGACAAAAUCGAAGAUUUGCGACUCGAAUCCUCUCUUCAAUUUCCAGAGGAGUUUCAGUUUUCACCCUGCGAGAUAAGAGCUUGUGGAAUUCGCAUGGUUGACGAAGAGACUAAAUGUCUGGAGAGCUCACCUCUUAUGCCACUAUUGGAGAAGAAAUAAUCACUCGUGCCAUUCUUAUGUUUGGAAUAUUAUUAUUGAUUUUUAUUUAAAUCGAAAAAUGAGAAAAGGACGAAAAACUCUUGCGAAACCACAAAAACUACAAGAAAACUUAAUUUGUUGGGCUCGGAUCAAAAAAAAAAUGUAAAUACUCGGCCCAGUUGUAUUAUUUACAGAAAAAACCUAAGUAAAAACCUAAGUUCCCCCUUUUCACUUCUCGACUUCUUCCUCUUCUCUCCGUCGUCGUCUUCUCUCGUCUCCGACGAUACCACUUUCACCGGAAAAAUCAAUCUCUUCUAUUCUUCUUUCUUCUCCGUUUUCGUUCGUCUUUGUCUCUUUCAUAUCCGCAAAUUUAUUUUCCAAUGGCUAGAGUAAAAGACUCAUCUGGAGAAUAUGAAUCAACUAGGGUUGAAUCGACCGGCGAAAUUCCUCCAUCAGUCGACGAGACCGCCGCCGAGAUUCCCCGAAGAGAUGAAGAAGGCGCAGAGCUUUUUACAACAGAAGAGGAAGCCGGAGAAAUUCAGCCUACAACCGGCGAUUGUGACGCCGCCGAUUUGGGUAAUUCAAACGCCGUCGCAUGGGAAUCAAAUGACGAUCUUUCAGACCCAAAUGCCGAUUCUUGUGCAGAAGAAGAAGAGGCAACGAAUGCAGUUGUUCAACAUGAUGAUGGAGCAAAUAAGGUAUGAUAGAAGACCGUUAUUUUUUUUGAUUAGGCUCGUUUUAGGAUAUUAUGCAUGCAUUGGUAAAUGAUUGGAUUUGUGAAUGGUGCUUCAGAUAAAACAAGUAGUACAACUAGGUCGUAAAUUUGUGAAUGGUCAUUCAGGAACAAGUAGUACAACUAGGUAGUUAAUGUGAAAUUGAAAGUAUUUUGAAUUGAAUAUGCAGGAUGAUGGUGAUGAUGAUAACCUGCCGCAGAAUAUGCAGGAUGGUGAUGAUGAUCUUCAGCCGCAGAAUAUGCAGGAUGAUGAUGAUGAUGAUGAUGAUAAUCAACCAUUGCCGCCAGAAGUUAUGUACUUUGAUCCAACUACCUACACGAAGGUGUGUAAGAUAGGAACGAGGUGUCAGUUGGUACAAACAGUGGAAUUUAUAGAGACUUUGGAUGCAGAACUGAAGUGGUUUAGGAAUCAUGACCAAUUUAAGCACAUAUUCCACAUGCCUAAGGAGCCCAAUCACAUGAUUCAAGGCAUGUGGAUGCUUAUGGUUCGCACGGCUAAGACAGAAUUGGAGAGAGAGUGUUGGUUUGUUGUCAAUGGAGUACCUAUAAGGUACUCAAUUAGAGAGCAUGCAUUGUUGACCGGUUUGAACUGCCGUGAGUACCCAAAAAACUAUAAGACUUUAGGCAGUUUGAAGUUUGUGGAGAAGUUGUUUAAGAGGACUGAGGACAUCAAGAUUAAAGACGUGGAAGAGAAGCUGGAAGAGUUUAAGAGUGAGAAGUCUACUGCUAGGUUGAAGUUGGCAAUUCUGUUAUUCUUAGCUAAGGUUAUGAAAGCUGAUUCUAAAGGGGAUUCGAAGAUAGAGGAGUUUUUGCUUAGGAUUGUGGAUAAUGUCAGAGCUUGUGAGACAUUCCCGUGGGGACGUUUUUCCUUUGAGCAGUGUAUGGAAGGGGUGCGGAGAGUAAUGAAGAACAUGAAAGGUGUGGUGAAACCCAAGGCACAGACUGCUUUUUAUGGAUUUAUUACUCCACUUGAGGUAAGUAGUCGAGUAAAUUAUAUGAGUGGCUAGAUUUUGUUAUUGUGAACUUUCAUUUACUUUUAUGUUUUUGUGUCUAGAUUCUGGCAUUUGAGUGCAUUCCGCAGCUUGGGAAGAGAUUUAGAGAAGCUGUACGUGCAGACAAGGAAUGUCCAAGAAUGUGCAAGCACAAGUUCAGUGAAAGUUGCAUGAAGGGAUUUACUUUGGAAGAAAUAAAUGAAGCACUUGGAGAUAUAACGGUUAGCUUUGUUCUCUUGAAAUCUAUGUUUAUAAUCUUUGUGGUGUUUGAAAUAUAUGUUUACUUGACAGGAUAUUUCAAGCAUCUUGGAACCUGAUAUGGAUGAGAGAAAAAUGUUGUCACGCGUUGUAGAGAAGCAUGUUGAUGAUGGUAUUGGAUAUAUCGAUCCAAUUGUUGAUAGUUGGAGAGAGAGGCUUAUCGUAGAGAAAAAGAAGAUUUUCUGGCGUAGUCUCUACCAAGCAGACAUUGAUGGUAGACGUAUUGAAACUGUUGAUGAUGUUCCAGCUGUACCUGAACCUGAAAUCCCUGGGACAUCGAUUCUCUCGUUCAAGGAAGCUAUGGAGAGAGGAUUUGACAAGCUCACGGACAAGCUUGCUGUGAUGGAUAGCGAAAUCAAGCGGAUUUGUGUGAGAGUACAAGGAAUAGAGGAAUAUGUGGCAGAUCAGCUUGAGAAAGAGGCAGAGAAAGACAAAUAUGAAGAUAUGCGUCCUGGUUCAGCUGCUGAUUUUGUGCCACCGUCUUAUCAGCCAAGGGAUACUCAGAGCAAGGCCUUGGUUAUUCACAGUGGAAUCCGUGACCCAGCACCUCCAACUAUUGAGUCUCUAAGUGAGUUUUUGUUGAACUUUUGUGUAGUGAUGCUUUCACAAUAGUUCUUACAUGUUUGGUUACAUAUUUUUGUAGGUGAUGGCAGCGAUGAGUCCGAUGAAGAGGAUAAGAAGAAGAAGAAGAAGAAGCAGAUAUCGAAGAAGAAGAGAAAGCAUGUUGGUCCUACUCUGGAAUCUGGGAAAAAACGUGGAAGGAAACCUUCCAAGUAUAAGGGGGAAGAGUUUACAGCUGAGGGGAAGCAAACGAGGAAGAGACUUUGACUUUUCUUUCUUGCUUAUGUGUGUGUGUGGACUCUUAGGUGUUUGGAGAAAUAGGACUUUCUUUUUGUGUAUUUGGGAAUGUUAUGCGUAGUUUAUGUGUAGAGGACAAACUUAUUUUCUGUAAUGGUUUAUGUGUUUUAGGAUUUUAUUAAAAUCAAAACGUUUGGCUAAGUUGUCCCGGUUGGCCGGUCAAUAAUACAAGAGUAGCUAAGUUGUCCCAGUUGGCCGGUCGAUACACAUAACUUAAAAUACAAGAGUAGCUAAGUUGACCCAGUUGGCCGGGACACCCAGAGAGAGUAGCUCGUCAGUUCUUCAAACUCCUUAGCUCGUCCUCAAGCUCCUUAGCUCGUCCUCAAGCUCCUCAGAUCGUCCUCAAAGCUCCUCAGCUCGUCUUCAAGCUCUUCCCAUCACAGCGACCAUCUCCUCGCCUAGCUGUCAGCUAGUCAGCUCGUCCGACUCCUCGUCUAGCUAUCAGCUCAUCCCUCGACUACAAAACUCAUCUACCUCCUCGCCUAGCGGCAGUUCGUCCAUUGACUGCAUAGUCCACCUAUCUCGUCGCCCAGCUCGUCUAUACCUUCAGCAGACAACUCGGUUUGUCCAAUUCGCCUCUCUAUCCAGCUCGUCGCACAUCUACCUACCUUAAAAUUUUCGUACGACUCCUCGUCUAGCUGUGAUUCGUGUAUCAACAUUUUCGUACACAACUUAAAAUACAAGAGUAGCUAAGUUGUCCCAGUUGGCCGGUCAAUACACAUAACUUAAAAUACAAGAGUAACAUAUUUAGGUUCAAAUGCCAUACACCAUCCUCAAUAACAUAAAACACAUCAUAAUCACCAUGUAGAAAGUAAUGCCCUAAGCCUAUCAAUCUCGACUUUUUUGGCGAGUAACCUUUCUUUAAGGGUUUCAAUUUCACCUUGCAUGAGUUGAAUAGUUUCCCGGAUGGACUCCAAAGCAUGAUUGCAUGCUAGUUGUCCAUGUCUUAGUGCGGAAUCAAGUUUGUGAUUUACCUUCUCAAGCUCCUCAGUUACCGCCUGAUCCCACCACUGAAUAAGGUGGUUUCGGGACUCGUACUCUUCAUCCUGCGAAAGAGAGAAGACUUCAUAAAUAUAAUUCACUUGUACUUUGUUGUUCCAAUGAAAUGAAAACACAAUAACUUACUUUAAGCAUUGGGCAUUUGUAGACUCUGUCGCCUUGCCUGUAACCAGUUUUGCACACUUCAAGUUUUACAGGCUUACCACAAAAACAUUUUUCUGGAACCCCCCAAUUUGCAUCGGCAUUCGCCUCUCCACUAUUCCAACUAGCUUCGGACGUGGAUGGUUGAGAGUAACUAUAGGGCAUCUACAGAACAGAGAAAGAAAGAGAUAUGAAUCAUGAACGCUAUAAACCCUAGAUCUACUAAUUACAGCGGCUAGAAACCCGUAAGAAACCCUAGAUCUACUAAUUACGGCGGCUAAAAACCCGUAAGAAACCCUAUAUCUACUAAUUACGGCGGCUAGAAACCCUUUAGAAGAAGAGAGAAGAACGAGAGAGAGGAAGAACUCCAGUGCAUGUAAUACCUUGGUUGUUGACAGCUAGGCGAGGAGAUGGUCGCUGUGAUGGGAAGAGCUUGAAGACGAGCUGAGGAGCUUUGAGGACGAUCUGAGGAGAGAAGUGAAGAAGAGAGAAGAACGAGAGAAGUGAAAUAGAAGAGAGAGAGAGAAUAAAUAGGUAGAAACUUUGUAGUGUGAACGCAAUAAUCGUAGUGUGAACGCGACUUCGUGGGAUCUAUUUUUUAAAAAAAUUAUUUAUUAGAAUAUUCAGAAUACACAUAGUUGUAUGUAUAUGUACAGUUGGCCGGAAUCACAAACAGUUGAACUAUUCUAAAUUUUGUGUUUUUGAAGUUGAAUCUGAAAAACCAACUCAUUUUUUUAGUUGGUCCCAUAAGUUUUAACAUAUUAAUGGAUUUUAAUAAGUUUUGAUAGAAUCAUAUUUAGUAAAUAUCUGUUUUCAUACAUAACGUAUGUAUAUUGGACAAUCAUGAACUAUAUGUUCCUUGUCAUACAUAGGUGAUUUAUUAGGAAACCAGUUUAUGAUCAAGUUUAUUAAUAACAAUGUUGUAAUAUCAUAUUUUGGAUUUAUUCAAUGUUUAGAUGUUGAUAAUAGCUGAAAAUAUUGAGAAUUAUUUUAUCAUUUUAUUAAUCCUAAAAUACAGAUACAUAUAUCAGUUGUCUCAGUUGAACUUAAAAAAAUACAUUAAACUUGCAAAUAAUUCAAUAAACUUGCAAAGAAUUCAAUAAACUUGCAAAGAAUUCAAUACAAAUACGAAAACAUAAAACAUAGUACAUCACACUUACAAAUAAUAUAAUGCAAAUACAAAUGAACUUAGUUGUAUUGGUUGAACCCUUUCUGCAGUUGGCCAGGUUGUUCUGGUUGAACCCUUUCUGCAUCAGACUUAAUCUUCCUCAGGCUGCAGCCAAGCCUCCAAGUUUAUUCUAGGUUGCGAUUUUCUCCUCUUUCGCGCUUCACCAGCUGAUGGAAACCGCUUCUCUUGAUUUCGUCCUGGUCCUUUUGGUGUGUAUUCCGGCGGAAAGGCAACUAACUCUUUAAUAUGGGCAGGAAGAACCCAAACCGACUCAUGUGGGACUACAUACAACGUCCGGUAAUAGGCCAAUGACCAACUAUCUAUCAAGUAAUACACAGAGCAGAGUCCGUAGAUGGUUGUAUUCGCAUUUCUCCCUUCCUUGCGGGCGAGGUGCCUUGCUGCGGCCAUAGCAUGGACACACGGGAUCUUGUCUAUAUCAAAACGUUUGCAUGAACAACUUUUCAUUUUCAAAUCCACCAGAAAACUUACCGAGUUGAGAUCAAUCACGUUGUAUUCUUGGUUGUAACUGUUAAGCUCAAACACAGUUAAUUUGGCUGCAACUUGACAUCUAAUGUGCAAUAUGUUCUCCACAGUAGGCACAACUUGUGCUGUGAUUGGACAAGAACCUGAAGCUUGCCUAUGCUCGUUGAACCAUUCAGAAAACUUAGAAAUCAUCACAUCAAUCAUUGGUAACAAGUGAUAUUUUCUCGCUUUUUUAAACACACCAUUAAUGGACUCCGCAGAAUUACUAGUGUCAAUGUUAUACUUGUCUCCUUUAAAAUGGCACCUCGACCAUUUCUCAAACCCUACUUUCACAAGAAAGUCAGCAGCUUUAGGCCAUAAACUUGUAAAAUGACCAAACUCUUUCUCGAACUCACUCUCAGUAUAUGCAUGAGCACAAUCCCUGAACUUGACAGCAGCUCCAUCCUUGUCAAUUUUCACACGAUCUCUCAUGUUUUGACACAAAUGCCAUAUACAAGCUGCAUGAAGCGCAUUCGGGUACACCGUCUUGACAGCCUUCUUUAUGCUUUGAUGCCUAUCACUAAUAAAGACCAAUCCGGGAACAUCCGAAUAUACAGUUUUCAGGUUUUCUAAGAACCAAAUCCAACUUACAUCCUUCUCGCUAUCAAUGAUUCCAAACGCAAGUGGAUAAUGAUGAUGAUUAGGAUCUUGUGCUGUUGCAAUAACCAACAUCCCACCAUACACAGUUUUAAGAUGAGUUGCAUCCACAACUAUCACUUUCCGCAUUGCCCUAAAACCUUCAAUGCAAGCGCCUAAUGCAAUGAAGAGGUACUUGAACUUUUUCUCUCCUUCCAACUCCACAUAAGUUACUGUCCCUGGAUUUACCUUCUCUAACAUGUAAAGAUAAGAAAAUAACAUCGUGUAGCUUCUUUCCGGAGUCCCUCGCACAUCACUAACAUGUAGCAUUUUGCCUCUUAAGGCAGUGGAGUAUGAACAAUGCACCCCAAGUCUUCCUCUUACAAUCGACAUAAUGUUUUUUGGAGUUGGGGUCUCUAAAUUUCCGGGAUAAUCACAAUGCAAAACCGAUGCUAUUAAUCUUGGUGUGCCUCGCUGUAUACUAUUGCUUGUAGUCUCAACACUCCGAGAGCAUGUAUGCAUCUUUCUAUGCAUUCUAACACUCCAAAAAUGAGAUUUCUUAGUUCUCGCAACUCUUAGAUACCAAGUACACCCUUUAGAAGCUUGGCGGCAUCGUAGCAUAAGUCUCAACGGGUCUGACUUAAUAGUAUAGACUCCAAAAACUUCUUUCUUUGCAGCUCUGUUAACCAAUUCCCACACAGCCUCCCUUGAACAAAAUUCUUGACCAAUUUCAAUACCCGUACCAUCAUCCCAUUCUAUAACCUGCGGAGUAACUUCUACACUUCGUGGAAUAUCGUGAAUAUCAUCAUAAUCAAUCCUAUCAUCCUCAUCUUCUUCCUCAACAGAAUUCACCGGCCUUUCCAUCGGCCUUUCGACAGCCACGAUCUCCGUACCUACUACAUUCUCACAAUCAUUCACAUCAUUAUCAUAUCCAUCAUGCACCAUCUCACAUACUUCAUUUAAAACAUCAUCCUCUAUUACAUUUACACCAACUGAACUUCGACGCUCCGGUACAGAAAUUUCCUCUCUCCUCUCAACUCCUAUACCAUUUAAUUCCUCCACAUGCAAAACAGGAAUCCGACUCUCUUCAUCAGAUUCUGUUAAAAAUAUGAAGACAUCCUCAUCAUCUACAAUAUAUGUCUCUCUCCUAACUUUAGACAGAUUGUAACUCAGUUUCAACUUGACAGAAGCUUCAUCAAUCGCAACCUUCUUCAUGAUCUUGUCAACUAACAUCGAAUAGCUAAUCUUCUCCAAACUACUCGUCUUAAACGAUAUAGCAUAUAGUGAAUUUUUACCAAUCCACUCAUUCACUUCAGAAUAGUAUCCUCCAAAGUCAAAAUGUACCUUAGUGUGGAUCUUCUUCUUCAUCGCUCCUGAAAAUACAACCAGUUCAACUCCAAUCAAACAUUUUAAUAGUUAUACCACAUGUACUCUUAUCAUACGUUGAAAUCAAUCUCUCGUCGCACUCGAUUCUACUGAACCUAAUUCGUUACCUUUCAAUUGAUUUCCAAUGUUAAUACAUACCUAUUCGUUAAACUAAUUGGUUAAUCUAAACUUUGCAAACACAAACCCCCCAAAUCUUUAAUAUGAAAUCUCGGAAUUCAAAUUCAACUCACAUUCAACCUACAUUCCUUUGCUCAUCACCUCAAAUAACGUUUCGGCAACCUCUAAUCGAUUACUCUUUACUUUGCAAACCAAUCAUCAAACUAUCAAAUUGAAUCGAGCUGGGAAUUAUAUAGAAUUCAAAAUCCCAAUCUAAAAUCACAAUGCACCAAUGUCAAAGGAAAUAUGAGAAGAAACUGACCUAAUUCGUGGCUUUUACGCCGGAUUUCAAGUCGGCGGCAUGAGGAAAUCGAUGGUGGCCAACGAAGAAGAUGAACGUCGACCAAAGAAGAAGAACACGACGACGAAGAGGAGAAUCUCCGAACUCGAUUUUCUUUAUUUAGCUUUUGAAUUUCUUUUUCAUUUUUUUAAUCAACUCAUUAAGGGUACAACUGGUAUAUCACAUUUUCGGUGGCAUUCAGAUUAACUGAUGGCAGUCCAGAUCAGUUUUUUCAAAAAAGUGGCAUAAGUGAUAAAAGUUCAAAUGUCUGGAGUGCCACUAUCUGCGAAAAAGUAACCAGGAAUGCCACUCUUCUAAUUCCCAAUUUUUGUCGAAUUAAAGAUAAAUGAGAGAAAAUCCAAAUAAUUGGCAAAAGACCAAAAACUCAGACGACCCAACAAAAUAUCCGAUCCAAUUAAGAUCCAUGCCUAGCAACCCAAAACCCAUUCCAAACACUUAAGCGAAAUCCCUAAUUUCUAAAAUCAAACCGUUUCUACUCUCAUUCAAUUCAAAUUUUCCAAAAUCAAAUUCAUAAUUUCUCGCCUUUCACAAUUUUCCGACGAAUUCUUGAUUCGUGUAAUAGUUUGAUGACUCGUGUUAGAGACGGUAUUGAUGGCCCUGUAUAUGAUUCGACGGAGAAGUCGUCCGGUGAAGUUUCGACAUCAGAACCAGUUCCUUCAGAAAUUGAAAACGACGGAGAUGCCGCCGGAGACGGUAAAGGUGGCCCUGUAUAUGAUUCGACAGAGAAGCCGUCCGGUGAAGUUUCGACAUCAGAACCAGUUACUUCGACGGACAAGCCGUCCGGUAAAGUUUCGACAUCAGAACCAGUUACUUCAGAAAUUGAGAACGACGGAGAUGCCGUCGACUUGGUUCCGACCGAACCAGCAGCACGAGAUGUUGCGGCGAAUGAUACUACAAAAGAAACCGCUAAGAUUGAAAAGGCUAUGGAGGAACCGCGUGAUGGUGAUGAGGCUUCUCCUAAAGGAACCGCCGAAAUUGAAGAGGAUCAGACAGGUACAUCUUUGAAACCUCUAAUUGACGCUGUCAUUCAACAAUUCGAAGAAGCGAAAGACGGGAAUGGGGAGGAGCUGGAGGAGGAGGAAAUGGUGAAUACAAUUCUAAAAGAAGGGGUAGAGAACGUUAAUCGUCAGGCAUGUGGGUGCUUAUGUUACG